UACGAAGGGGCUAGCGUUGCUCGGAAUCACUGGGCGUAAAGCGCACGUAGGCGGAUUGUUAAGUCAGGGGUGAAAUCCUGGAGCUCAACUCCAGAACUGCCUUUGAUACUGGCGAUCUCGAGUCCGGGAGAGGUGAGUGGAACUGCGAGUGUAGAGGUGAAAUUCGUAGAUAUUCGCAAGAACACCAGUGGCGAAGGCGGCUCACUGGCCCGGUACUGACGCUGGAGGUGCGAA
rnacentral:rRNA from 1 species